rnacentral:rRNA from 1 species
UGGGGAAUUUUGGACAAUGGGCGAAAGCCUGAUCCAGCAAUGCCGCGUGUGUGAAGAAGGCCUUCGGGUUGUAAAGCACUUUUGUCCGGAAAGAAAUCCUUGGCUCUAAUACAGUCGGGGGAUGACGGUACCGGAAGAAUAAGCACCGGCUAACUACGUGCCAGCAGCCGCGGUAAUACGUAGGGUGCAAGCGUUAAUCGGAAUUACUGGGCGUAAAGCGUGCGCAGGCGGUUUGCUAAGACCGAUGUGAAAUCCCCGGGCUCAACCUGGGAACUGCAUUGGUGACUGGCAGGCUAGAGUAUGGCAGAGGGGGGUAGAAUUCCACGUGUAGCAGUGAAAUGCGUAGAGAUGUGGAGGAAUACCGAUGGCGAAGGCAGCCCCCUGGGCCAAAUACUGACGCUCAUGCACGAAAAGCGUGGGGAGCAAACAGGAUUAGAUACCCUGGUAGUCCACGCCCUAAAACGAUGUCAACUAGUUGUUGGGGAUUCAUUUCCUUAGUAACGUAGCUAACGCGUGAAGUUGACCGCCUGGGGAGUACGGUCGCAAGAUUAAAAACUCAAAGGAAUUGACGGGGUCAUAGCUGUUUCCU